AUGCUGUGCAGGUUGCGUGUGGGGCGCAGACCUUGGACGACUGGUUACACGGAUCUGUCAUUCCUUCUAAAUGAGAUGAGAGAUAGAUCCACAUUCAGGACACGAAUUCUGGAGCGCCAUCUGCUGGCAGACCACCUGAAGAACUUCACACGCUUCCUCUACAGAGGAAACAUCUAGUUCUUAAAUAUCAAGGCUUCAUUUGUACAUCUAUAUCUUGAAGGAAGAGUUCAGCAACACAUGAACAUUUAUCAAUUGCUCACCAACAUCUCAUCCUAAACCUGUACGACUUGCUUUCUUCUAUGGACAAUGUUUAGCUGAUUGUCACAGCUUCUGUUCUGAAUAUAAUGUUCAAGACAUCAGCUGUCAUUAUAUUGAAAAACUAUUGCAAAAUAUCAGCAUAUGGGUUUGAAGAACAUGAGGGUGAGUAAAUAAUGCCUGGAUUUUCAUUUUUGGAACCACAACUGACAGCAGUACAAAGUACAUCCAACUUCAACAGUGAUAUUAAAUUCUUUUUUUUAGUGUAACUUUAAUAACUCAAUCAAGCAAGCUCUGUUUUGGUUGUCAUGUGUUUCUCAGGUUCUUGAGCUGGAUUUGUUUUGCCAAAAAUACCUGACUUAUAAUGUCUGAAGCACAGGUUUGAUCUGAGGAUCCUGAAAUCAUCACAAAAACACGUUCACUCUCUGUUAAUAACAUGUUGUUGAUCCAGCUACAAAAGCACUUUUGAAUAUCAGUUACAGGUUUUGCAUGAGACUUGCCUAUUUACGUGAUUAAUUUAAAAAUACUUUAGUGGAAAAAGUGCAAAACAAAAGCUUCAAUAUCAAAAAACAUGUUGUCCAAGCACACAAACCAGAUGUGGAACCAGCUGCUGUAAUGAAGCAGUUUCGCCAUCAGAUGGCGUGAAGCACACAGAAAGGUUUGCAUUACUUUAAUGCAUGUUUAUCAACUCACAAAGCAUAAUUUUCCCAAUUAAUAUAUUAAUGGGUUUUAUCACAUGGAUGAAAAAAGUAAUAAUGAGUUUAUAAAUCAGCACAUUAGAAUGAUUUCUGAAGAUCAUGUGACACUGAAGACUGGAGUAAUGAUGCUGAAAAUACAGCUGCACAUCACAGAAAUAAAUUACACUUUAACAGAUAUUCACACAGAAUAUUGCUGUUUUUAAUUGUAAUAAUGUUUGAAUAAUUGGGAAACUCCGUAGAAUUGAAUUUACUUCAUUAAUGUUAAUACUAAUAUUUCAAUAUUAAACUCAUUCAGUUAAAUAAAAUAAUAAAAUAAAAAAUGUGUAAUAUAAUUAAAUAAUAAUAAUGAUUUAUUUAUUGUCUCAUUUCCUUUCCAUUUUUUUUUUUUAAAUACUUCUAUUGGUCUAUUUCUUGGAGAUUUUAUAGUCAUUUUAUUUUACUUGAAUAAUAACUUGACCAAUUCAGUUAUAAAAUAAAAUACAAUUAUAAAAUAAAAUGUAUAGUAUAACAGUUAUUGUAUUUAUUUUAUUAUUAUUAUUAUUUUUUUUUUUUUUGGUUGCUUUUGUAUUUUCUAUUUUUUCUAUUAAUUUAUUUUAAAAUGCUUAUAUUUUUUAUUUGUUCUGUUUCUUGUAGAUUUUAUUGUAAUUUUAUUUUAGAUGAAAAAUAUCUUGAAAAACCUGAAGCAAUGUUGAAAUAAUUUUGAAACACCAUAUAAUUUAAUUUGGUUGUGA
ensembl:lncRNA